CUCCUUUCAUUAUUUACUGUUUUCUUUUUUGCUUUUUUGUAAAGUAGACACACGGUGACAACCUUCAAAAUGGAGGAAAAUCAAAAUACUGUUACUGUCUUUAUUUGUAUGGCUUGCUUGCUUUUUAUUUAUAUUUCCUUGUACUAUUCUUUGAAUUCUCAUUUCCACUCUGCUUUCUUAUUUACUAUUUUCUGCUUCUCCCCUUCUGAUGCCUCUCUUUGGUUUCUUAAAAUGCGGAGGAAAAAUAGACUUUUUGAUUCUGUUUGGUUGCUAAGAAUUAUAUUAGAUGGAGAAGUGGAAAAUGAAGCGAAAUUCCAAAUCGUCUUUUGUACUUUUACGAUGCUAUUUAAAUUCCACAUGUUCUGUUGUAUUUUUAUGAUACUUUUUCUUUAUUUUGUUUUUGAAAAACAAAUUAUUACCGAACAAAGGCUAGAUUCUCUUAUCUUUGUGUGUAUUUGCAAGUGCAUGCUAGAAUUCGGCUUUACUCAAUCUUGCCUACAUUUUCUCACAAAGCAAACAGAGAAGAGUUUCUUUUGAGAAUGAUUUUUCCCUUUUUUUUUUAAAAAUGUUGUAGAGUGCUUCCAAUAUGCGAUUGUCCGGGAUAGAGAAUAUGGCAGCGUUGCUGGAGAAGCAGCUAGCAUCUGAGAUUUCCGAGAUGACAUUAGAGGAAGCUUUGAAAUUGGCUCGUGCUUUCAGCCAUUAUCUCACUUUGAUGGGAAUUGCUGAGACCUAUCACAGGUAGUGGGAUUUAGUUUAUCAGCUGUUCAAUUUCAUGAGGUCAAUUUUCACUUUUCAAUUUAUAGGGAAUAACGCAUGUACAGUUAUAGAUCCUACGUUGCAAUUAGAUUUUUUUUGAAAGAACAAUUAGAUUAUCUUAAAAUUUCCUAUCAAGUGUUUUUUUCCAGUGAUUCCGAGUGCUGCAAUUUUUUUUUGCUAGUUUAUGUUUCUAUUAUCUCUACCUACUUAAUAAAAAAUGAAGGGUUUGUUGUCAGUUUUCAAUUUUCAUGGCUUUAUCUUAACAGAAAAACAUUUUGGAAUUACUGUUGUUUUGGUUAUUGAUUAGGUAUUGCCUUUCUCAUUUUUUUUUUUUGUGAAUGGUGGGUAAACUAUACAGGAAAUAUGCCAUGCUAACGUUUGAGUGUCUACUUUCGAGAGCAUUCAUUACAUUUUGGAUUUCCUAAUAAAAAUUAAGAAAAUGCAGAAAAAUCCGGAGUCAUACAAUAAGUCUCCUGCUAAAUAUUAUUAUUAUUACUAUCUUCUGUUGUUCUUUGUGCAAAACAAUUUUACGAUUUGCUUUUAUUUAAUCAAGAACUCAACAAAUUCAAGUAAUUAUUUUGUGCAGGGUUCGUAAGGGGCGAAGUGUUACACAUUUAUCAAAGUCUUGUGAUGACAUUUUCAGUCAGUUGAUUCAGGGUGGCGUUACCCCGAAUGACCUUUAUGACACUGUUUGCAAGCAGGUAUAUUUCUUAUAUUGCUUUUAGAUUUAGUUUUCUUCAGUGCCUUGUUCAGUAAAAGAAUAUCAAGUAUUAGAAACUCCAACUUCUCAUUGUGUUUCUGAAAAGUACUCUGAAACUGUCGUCAGAGAAGCCAAACAAAUGUGAGCUUCUAGUGCAGUCUCAGCUAAUGGAGAGGAACAUAAUUGCAACAUUUAUUUUAGUCAUGCCAACAUUUUGUUCAAUUCUUUAUUUUGUGAUCAAAUUAAAUGUAAAAUCCUUUUUUCUGCAGGAGGUUGAGAUUGUUCUUACUGCUCAUCCCACACAAAUUAACCGCCGUACCUUACAAUACAAGCAUAUAAGAAUUGCUGUAAGUUAAGGGUUGUGCUGACAAUUAUUAACUUGAGUCUUGAGGCUAUUUUCUGAAAGUCAACCCGUUUUUCCUUGCAGCAUCUGUUAGAAUACAAUGACCGACCUGAUCUUGGUCAUGAAGAUCGAGAAAUGCUAAUUGAAGAUCUGGUAUUGUUCCCCAAUGCAAUGUUUCCUGACCACUCCUGGAAAAUAAAGGGAAAAAGGGGGUGGGGGGCAUGGUUUGUCUACUAUUGUGAUCAUGGGAAAAAAUGUCUUCCGUUUCUUGGUUUUAUAAGAGUUCCUUUUGACUUUGUAGGUGAGAGAGAUAACAUCGAUAUGGCAGACAGAUGAACUUAGACGCCACAAACCUACUCCUGUGGACGAGGCCAGGGCUGGUAUAUCACUUUAGAGUUUAGACAUAUUAGAAAUUGCAUGCAUUUUAUCUUAUAAAUGCUUCUGUAUGACUAUUAUUAUUUUUUAUUAGGUCUGAACAUAGUGGAGCAAUCCCUUUGGAAAGCCGUACCUCAUUAUUUACGUCGUGUUAGCACUGCCCUUAAGAAAGUGGGAUAUCAACUUCUAUUUUGAAACUACUAGGCUCUUUGAAUGGAUACACAAUAUUUAUAGGCUCGCUCAGUCUUUUUUUUCUUUAAUUUGCCAUUCCUUUUCAGCAUACAGGAAAGCCGCUUCCACUAACAUGUACCCCCAUAAAGUUUGGCUCCUGGAUGGGGGGUGAUAGAGAUGGAAAUCCUAAUGUCACAGCAAAGGUGAGGCUCCUUGCAUCCCUCUACUUUCUGCUCUUUGAUGACUGCUUUUAAACUGGAAUACCCUGAAAAUUGAACGACUGGUUCAUUUUGGAAAUGUGGUUUUGGAAUUUCUAGAUUGAUUCUUAGUAUUUUUCUUGAGACUCCUUGUCCCUUUUUCCACAUGUCUAUGUUACAACUAGUAAUAACUAGCAUUCUGUGCUAGUCCCUAUCGUAUAAUUUCAUGCAAAAAUGGCAUUUUUCCUACAGUUUUACCAAGUGCCUAAUGCCUUCAUUGUUUUUCUUCUCCUUGUUUCAGGUAACAAGGGAUGUCUCACUUUUAUCUAGGUGGAUGGCCAUUGAUCUUUACAUCCGGGAAAUUGAUAGCCUUAGAUUUGAACUAUCCAUGAACCGAUGCAAUGAUAGGCUAUCCAGAUUGGCUCAGGAAAUUCUAGAGAAAGGUUGGGGCUGCUUGAUAUGUUUAUGCUCUUUUCAAUCUUAAACACCUAUCCUAGAAAUUUUUAUUAGUUAGUUUACCUGUUUUACACCAUCUUAUGCUUAAUUGAGGACGCCUUAAUCCUGUAUUCUUCGGGGGGCUAAUGUCAGACACAUGUUGAUGAGCAUAAAUCUGGUUGGCCUUGAUAGCCAAGAAUGUUAUUUGGGCAUAUGAUUUUGAAGAAUAUUUUUCCAAAUCAUUGAAAGAAACCUACAAUUGAAGAAACAAGUGAUCUUAGAUUUGAUGAUAGUGUGUUUUAUACUAUAUCAAAACUUGCGCAAGAUGGAUCGCAAAUUAUAUCUGAUGACUUACAUCCAAGUCUUCCAUAUAGAUUUUGUGUUAUAAUCUGUUUUAAUCCUCUUUAUCUCAGUUAUAUCACAACUUCUGAAAUCUGAACAGUAGGUUUACUUCAUCUUCAGAAACCUUAUCAGAGAACCUACGUGAGAGUCGGAACCAACCUUUAAGCCGAAGUCAACUCAAGCUUCAUGGCCAACAAGCUCCGUCCCUUCCUACCCAACUUCCUGAUAGGGCAGGUUUACCUGCCUGCACUGGUAUGUGCGCGCAGACACUCAAACACUCAUAGCAAAAUGUUUUUUUCAUGGUUUGCUUAUUUGUGCAUACACUUAAAGAGCUUUUGGUCUCAAGAAUAUAAGGUAUUGAACAGUUGAUUGUAAUGAUAAUAUGCAAAAUAGAAAGUUUAAUUUUUCUUGUAAAACAUUUUAUGCUAUAUCUUUGCCCGGACAAUCCAUUCCCAGCUGUGAUGUCUAUGCAUAUAUAUAUUGUUUCUUUUCUUGGUAAUGGAAUUAAUCUUGUCUUUAAUUUCUAAGUGAUACUGUUUCAUUAGAUGAUUUCAUCUGAUUUGUUUAUUCAUGCAGAUUACACCGAUGGUGGAUCUCAAUAUCCAAAACUAGAACUCCCAGGGACUGAUUACAUGCCGUUGGCUCGUGAGGUUAAUUUAUUCUCUUGUAGUUUUGGCUGUUCAACAGGUUCUUCCUUCAUACCGUCAGCAUCAUAGCUAACAUUUAGUUUAAAUGUCUACUUUAGGAUGGUCGGGAAAAUUCAUCUAAGGAUUUAAGUCCCAAUAUACCCAAAUUAUCAGCAAAUGGGAGUUCUGCUAACUCCAAUGGAUCAUCAACUGCUGUCACAUCACGGGGUUCUUUCUCCUCUGGUCAGCUUCUAGCUCAGAGAAAACUAUUUGCAGAAUCUACGAUUGGAAGGUCCAGCUUCCAUAAGCUUCUUGAGCCAAGUUCAGCUCUACGUCCUGGAAUUGCUCCUUAUCGAAUUGUUCUUGGAGAUAUCAAGGAAAAGGUAUUGUUUCUCUAUUAGUUAAAAUACGUAAAAGCUCGUAUAAAAGCUUGUUUUUGGAUAUAAAUCAGGUUUCUUUGUGGCUUGCUGAAAGAGAAUAUGCACCUUUUCUGUUUUAGAAAUGUCGAUAUGGUUUGUAUAGGGGAGAUAAAGAAUUUUAAUUUUAUCUAGCUCAUGGUCUUGCUUUUAGAAUUGAGCUAAAGAAUUAAAAAAAAAAACAGGAUGGAUAAAUAAUGAUAUUACCUAUUCUAUGUAUAUGGUAAGGGCUAGUUUGGCAAUGCUUUUAAAAAAUGGAGUGGAAAAGUGCUUUUGAAAAGUGCUUUUGAAAAGUUUAGUUUAAAAUUUGAGUGUUUAGCAUUAUUCUCAAAAAGUGCUUUUGAGAAAUAAAAUGUCCAUUUUAGACAUGUUAUUAUCAAGUAACAAAUAUACAUUUAAAUAAUAUUUAAAUUAGUUAAUAUUAUUAUAUUUUAGUAAAAAUAUAAAGUAAUUAUUAUAACUUCUUGUUGAUAUUUUAAUAUAUGAAAUAUAAAUUUUAAAUACUUUUAAGCAAUAAAUAUUAAUUAUUUAUAAAAUUUAAUUAGAAUAUAUAAACUAUAUUUUAAAAUUUAAAUAUAACCAUUAAAUAUUUGUAAUUAGUAUUUUAAAUUUUUUUAUUUUUAAUUAAUAAUUUUAACACAUUUGUAAUUAAGCGCCAAAAAGAAAAAAAGGGAAAAUACUAUGUUAUUGGAGGGGUGAAAAAAUAAUUAAGCACUAAAAGUGCUUUUGGGAGAGGAAAAGCUAAAAAUUUUAGCUUCUACUUUUUAAAAGUGCUUUUGAAAAGCACUUCUAAAAAGCUAAAAAUUUCAUCCAAAAGCAGUUUGUUUAGUACAACUUUUCUUUCAAAAGUGUUUUUGGAGUCGGAAGUACUUUUUUUAAGCACUGCAGAACAGGCCCUAAAUGGUUAAAUAUAAAAUUUAAAAUUCCUUGAACAUAUAAAAUGUUUUUAAAUGUGUCAAUGUUAGUUUUAAGGAAAUGUGAAAUCUUAUAUAAAUUCAUUUGGUAACAAGUGUUGGUGAUUAUGACUAAAUGAUUUACAAAUAAUUCUAAAAUUUUGGACUUUUAUAUUAAUUAACCUAUCAUAGGGUUACAUCUGUCAUGUGAAUUUGUAAUUGUAACAUUCCUUUCGCCAGGUAUGUAGAUUAGGCUGAGAAAUUUGAUUCUUUUGCGAAAGUGAUAGAUGAAAAAUCUUAUAUGCUAGGUCUAUUGCAGAAAUAGCUUAAGAAUAUAAAGCAAUUCUGAAAAAUCUUAUAUGCUAGGUCUAUUACAGAAAUAGCUUGAGAAUAUAAAGCAAUUCAAGUGAGCUAGGUUUCAUUUGAGAAUGAUUUUGAACAAAAAGGAAAGGCAUUUUCAAAAUUUUACUUUAAAUCUAGUUCAUUUCUAGUUGUUAGGACAAUUUCCUCAAGCGGCACAGUCAAGGAAAAACUUAUCUAAGAUUUCAAGAUUAUUUUGGGUAUGGAACUAAACAAAUUAUCAUUCAGUGUCAUGCUUAUUCUGCUUUGCUAAAUUUGCAUGCAGAACUUGUGAAAUUUUGUUAGCAAUAAGUUGUUGUUAUUGAUCCGUAGGGUAUGGAAUUUAAUUUUUUCAGUCAAUCUGUUUUUAAUAUCCAGUAAGAUGUGUAUUUGUGUUUUGAUGACCUAUAAUUUCAGCUCAUGAAAACUCGAAGACGGCUGGAACUUCUUCUGGAGGAUCUUCCCUGUGAAUAUGAUCCCUGGGAUUACUAUGAGACGAAAGAUCAAUUUCUGGAACCACUGCUUCUAUGUUAUGAGUCUCUGGUAAUAACUCACAUUCCAAUGGCCUGCUGGAGAAUGAAUGUUCUUGCUGCCGUUAAUAUGGUGCUAUAACUGUAAUCUGCAGCAAUCAUGCGGGGCAGGGAUUCUAGCUGAUGGUCGGCUUGCUGACCUGAUUCGGAGAGUUUCAACAUUUGGGAUGGUGUUAAUGAAGCUUGAUUUGCGUCAGGUACACUUUAUUCAGUUAUAUUCUGGUACUUGCUCGUGUUUUGUGUUUUAGCUAAAGUUUUGUUAAUGUACAGGAAUCUGGUAGGCAUGCUGAAACACUUGAUGCAAUUACCAAAUAUUUGGAUAUGGGUACUUAUAGUGAGUGGGAUGAAGAAAAGAAACUUGAAUUUUUGACAAAAGAGCUAAAGGGGAAGCGGCCACUAGUUCCUCCUACUAUAGAGGUAAAGAUAUUCCAAAAGUAUAUUGGAGUGAAUAGGGGCUUGCAAGGAAUUUUCAAUAAUGAGGCUGAUGUGUGCAUGAAUUGCACACAAACAUACAUUGCAUGACAACUCUUAUAGCAUAAAUUCUGUUCCUUUUUUUAUUAUUGUGUUUAAGUUUCUCUAUGUUAAUAUAUACUGAUGCUAGACCGAAACCCUUAGAUUCUUCCAAAUAAGGUGCUCUUAGGUUUAAAGCUUCUAAACUGGCAAUGACCCAAGCCUCACUGUUACUCAAUAGCUGAGGAAACCAGAAACCAGCAAGAUUCAUGAAGUACUCAACUUGAAACGCAAUAUGUCAAGGGAAAUAACCUGAUUGUUGAAACAGUCAAAACACAAAAGUAACCGAUAGAUAUAAUAACUAAUUAAAGAGAACUCGAAGAUGCCUAAAUUCAGAAGUCCUUAAACGUUGAAAUCAGAAUAUAUUACAAUAAUGCCUCAAAAUCAAAAGUAGGUGGUUUCAAGGUUUUGAUUGCCGAGGUCAUAAGGUGGCAUAGCAAGACAUGGGUUUUUGAUUCUCAUUUGUUACAAAAGUCAGACUCUCAUUGAUAAUAUUGGCUCAUCGCCACAUCAUAAUAGUAAAAUGGAAUUGAGAUCUGGAUAGAGCAUGAGAUAGAACCACUUUGAGGUUCCCCAUGCAGUGAGUCUUUGCAACUGGAUGGGUCUUUGAUUCUCAUUUUUCUUGGGAACACAAUAUGUCAAGGGAAUCCAAGAUGUCUGCCACAUUUCCAUGAAUUCUCCUAAUAUCUUGAGCCAAUUAUAGCCUUUAUUUUCCCUUUUUGUUCGCCGGGAGUCCUACUGGAGUUCAAGUUGCUAUGAUUCAUGGCUAUGUAGUGUUCCUAGGAAGCUGAAAUGUCCGCAUUGAUUUGUUCAUUCGGUUAUAAAACAUUGCAAGUUGGCCCUCUUUAAGGCGCUGGGAUAUUCUUUAUUAAUAUUAUUAUAUCUAAAUAAAAAAUUUGAAAGUCACAUGUAAUUGUUCCGACAUUUUCCUUGGCAAUAUGAUUUCAAGACACGUGGUUACUUUUCAAAUUGACAGGAAAUGAUGCCAAAGGGACACAUGGCCAAGCAAACCUGAAUUGUUAUAUAGUUCCUUAGAAAACAGUCAAUUCUUUCAUCCUCAAACUAAAAAGAGGUUGUGGGUGCCUGAGAGGUAGGACAGUCAUUAUAAACCUUAAUUGAUAAAAGUAUGAAGGUAGAAACGGAUGAGUACUGCAUGCUGCCUAGCAAGUGAGGUAGUCCUUAUAGACCUUAACUGAUGAGAAUGUGAAGGUAGAACACUGAUGAGUACUUAUUGCAAUUAUCACGUACCACCUCUCGUUAAUGUCUUCAUGGUUUGCAUGAGCUGGUUCAUGGGUGAUGUCAGAGCACACACAAAAUGUGCCUUAAAGCACAGCAUGGUCAUACUGUGGGACUAUAGGCAUAUAAUCUCUAGGCAUCAAGGAUUUCUUUGAGUUCAAAUUUCCUCUCCUUUUCUUCCUUUUUUUUGUGGCUCUUAUUCAGAUUUAGCAAAAAGGUCCAUUCUCUUUCUAACUACUAGGACGGUAAAAAAAUUACCUAAAUAGCUCUUGUGCGAUAGAGAUCCAUAGCUGGAUAGCUGAGAACUUGAGGCCUAUUUGUUUGUUGUGUUAGCCUUUGUGGAAAAUCACUCUCUACUAAUAAUUUGUGGAUUCAUAAUAUAUAGAGAAUUUUGGAUGAAUUCCUACUCUUCAUUCUUAGCGACUUCUUUAUAAGAUAGAUAAAAAUGAAAAAGAAAAAAAAGAAGAAAAAACUGAUAUUUAAUAUCAAGUACAAAAAGCAUAUUCAUCGAUUAAACCAUGGGUGGAGUGGCAAAGGACUUGAUAUAAAUUCUUUAGUUUACACUAAUCCCUAGUUUGAUCGUUGGAGAACCGCUACCCCCUUCCCUUUAUCAGAAAAAAGAAGUAAAAAAAAGCAGCAGCAGCAUAUUCAUAUGUGCAGGAUGAAAAAGGCUUAAUUAGAAUGAACCUGAAUAGAGAUAUAAAGAAAAUCCCUUGGAGUUGACGUUACUAAUCAUUUCAUUGUUGCCAUCUCCUCACUUCUAGACUGCUUUUGUUUUGGACUAAAUCGUAUUACAUGUGGAGUGGGGUGGGGGAUCCCCUGAAUUGUGCAUAGGUCUAGGUGCUUUGGCCCUUGGAUUUGCUCUUGUAGUUAUCAUUAUUUGAGUUUAGAAAAUGGUGCCUUCUUUGGUGCAAUAUUCAAAGUCUUUCCUUUAUUUUCAAUUUUCCUUUAUUGCUUUAGUUAACAAAUAGCUCUUAUCUCCAAUGGAUUUGUUUCAGGUUGCUCCUGAUGUUAAAGAAGUCCUAGAUACCUUUUUUGUAGCCGCUGAGCUAGGAAGUGAGUCUCUUGGAGCAUAUGUGAUUUCUAUGGCAUCCAACGUAUGAUUUGCUAAAACCAUAUUAUGUUUACACCUGUUUAUACCUCUGCAGUACAUAAAAGAAAACUUUUUUCCCCUUUUCUGUUAAUUUAUCUUUAGCUUUUACAAUAUUCAUAUAUGGGAUAAAUAGAAACAAUGCUACCCGUUCUUGCUGAUUUGCAGGCAAGUGAUGUCCUUGCUGUGGAGCUCUUGCAGAAAGAUGCUCGACUUGCCGUUAGUGGGGAAUUAGGGAAACCUUGUCCUGGUGGAAUGUAAGUUUGCACCUCAGCUAGUUUAUACUCAUAUGCUCUUAGAUACAUUAAAUGCUAUCAUAUAUUUUUUAGUAUGAUAGCACAAUAGUAAUGAGAGAAACACACGGUUUUUGUUCAUCUGGAUCUCUAACUGUGAUUUAUCCUGGGAUUUUUAGUUCUUUUAUCUUAAUUUGGUUCUGGUUUUCUGCAUCCACUUCCUUUAAAUUGAUAUUAAUCGCGGGUCCUUAUAAUGCGCUUAUUCAUAGUUCUGGGCUACUCUCUAGACAUGGAUGAUCUUGUAUGCACUUGUAGAAGAGUGGCAGAAAUUACUGAUUAUCCAUUUUUCAUGGUUAACUUGUUAACAGGAGUGAAUUAGUUAGUAUUCCAGCUGGAGGUUUCUCCUUAACAUCAUUUUUGUUGUUGAUUAAGAAGAGGGGUAUGGUUUUGAGGUUGGGAACGGGAAUAGGAAUGGGAAGGGUUCCAAUUGCCCACUAUUUUUGUUGCACAAGAUGAGUUUGAAUUCAGUAAAAAACUCAGAACCUAUUAUGUCACUAUCUAAUCUCUCGUAGAUAUUUACUGGGGCAUGAAUAAUAGAACAACAAUAUACUUUGAAGGGAAGAGCUUUGGCACAACAUGUUUAGUUAUGGUUGACAUAAUUCAGCAUAACUAUGGCACUGUUAUACUUUGAAGACUUCUAUUCAUAUCUGUAUCUUUUUGAGUAGGUUGCGUGUGGUUCCCCUGUUUGAAACCGUGAAAGACCUCAGAGGAGCAGGUUCAGUUAUCAGAAAACUGUUAUCGAUUGAUUGGUACCGGGAGCACAUUGUAAAGAACCAUAAUGGGCAUCAAGAAGUAUGUUGAUUUUUAUGGCCAUUUGCGGGUUCAUUUUUGAAGUUCCAUUAAUCUCGUGUUUACGAAGUUAAUUAAAACAGGUGAUGGUCGGAUAUUCUGAUUCUGGUAAAGAUGCUGGACGCUUCACCGCUGCGUGGGAGCUUUACAAAGCACAAGGGGAUGUUGUUGCUGCAUGCAAUGAGUUUGGAAUCAAAGUUACUCUUUUCCAUGGUCGAGGAGGGAGUAUUGGUCGUGGUGGUGGCCCAACUUACCUCGCCAUUCAGUCCCAACCACCUGGUUCUGUAAUGGUGAGUGCCGCUUAAUUUUUAUCUCAGAAAUUUGGUAUUAUUAUUUGAUUAUUUCCUCAAUAAUCCGUAUUUGAGAGAUCAUUUUUUUCUCGGGUAAUUGAAAGAUAGAUGAAAUAUCUUAUUUGGUUGUCUGGUGUUGUAAGUUACCGUCACUUCAAUUUACAGUUUGCUACUUUUUUUAUUAAUGUGGAAAAUUCAAUUGUUGUGUUCCAUUUAUUUGUUGUUGAAAGGCCUUUUUCAGCAAACUGAUACGGAGUUGGAUGCUUCGCUUUGAGGAAUAUUUAGUGUGGUGUCUGAUUGAUAAUGGCAUGUUGAAUUGGCAGGGCACACUUCGGUCAACAGAGCAAGGGGAGAUGGUGCAGGCAAAAUUUGGUUUGCCACAGAUUGCUACUAGACAGCUAGAAAUAUAUACAACGGCAGUGCUGCUUGCAACUCUGCGGCCCCCUCAACCACCUCGAGAACAGAAAUGGUGUAAUCUGAUGGAGGAGAUCUCAAAAAUCAGUUGCCAGAACUACCGGAGCACAGUUUACGAGAACCCGGAAUUCCUGGCGUAUUUCCAAGAGGCUACACCCCAGGCUGAAUUGGGGUAUCUUAACAUAGGGAGCCGGCCGACAAGAAGAAAAGCAACGACAGGAAUAGGACAUCUUAGAGCAAUUCCAUGGAUAUUUGCAUGGACGCAGACCAGAUUUGUACUACCAGCAUGGCUUGGGGUAGGAGCAGGUUUAAAGGGGGUAUGUGAGAAGGGACAUACGGAAGACUUGAAAGCGAUGUACAAAGAGUGGCCGUUUUUCCAGUCCACGGUGGACCUGAUAGAGAUGGUUCUAGGGAAGGCGGAUAUUCCAAUAGCCAAGCAUUACGAUGAAGUGCUAGUGUCAGAGAGCAGGCGGGAACUUGGAGCGGAACUUAGGAGGGAACUGAUGAUGACAGAAAAGCAUGUAUUGGUAGUGAGUGGACAUGAGAAAUUGUCAGAGAACAAUAAGAGCUUGAGAAGGCUGAUAGAGAGCAGGCUCUCAUAUCUGAAUCCAAUGAAUAUGUUGCAGGUGGAGGUUCUGAGGAGGCUUAGACGUGAUGAUGAAAACAACAAACUCAGAGAUGCUUUGCUAAUUACUAUAAAUGGAAUCGCUGCGGGGAUGAGGAACACCGGUUAAUGUUAGAUUAGAGGAUCUCUCUCUCUCUCUCUCUCUCUCUCUCUUUUAGCUUCAUAUAUAUUUGUUGUCCUUAGCCCUACCAGUUAAUGUCUAUCGUGUGGAGUUUGGCGAAUGCAAUACUAGCAAGGGUGAAAUCUGUUUAAACUUUGAUUUUCAGAUUGAAAUUUUAAUCUCUAUCUAUCAUGUACUUUGUCUGUUGAACUUACUUAGCAGAGUAGAAAUGCUAUAAAAUAUGAAUCCAUUGCGUCAAUUACUAGGAAGAGACUGAUUGGUUCAAUCAAAUCAGAUCAGAACCAAAAUCAAGGAAUCGAGAUUGAGCCGAGUAGAAAUGUUAGGGGCUUAUUACCCAAAUAGUAAGCGAUGAUGAUUGAAUUGUAUCGAUAUGGCAAUGCAGUCUUAUUAUGCUACUUGCUGCGCGUGUUGGUCGCGUAAUUUUAUCUUUCUUUCUACAGAACUCUUUAAAUUUAUGUUUUAAUGCUUAAUAGAGCACUUGAGAGAAAAAUGAGUGAAAGGCGAGUGAAAAUUUGAGUGUUGGAGCAAGCUGGAGGAGCCACACGGGCUGAACCAUUCCACACGACCAAAACGCAUGGCCGUGUGACCCACACAGGAGUGUGGUAGGCCAUGUUGAUUUCACGGAAUUACGCACCGAACUAUAGAAAAUUAUAAUUUUUAGGUUUUUCGGUAUUCUAAGACUUAUAUAUGACAAAAAUAAGAAGAUAUGAGUGAGUUAUCAUAGACUAUUUAAAAAAAACUCGAAAAAAACUAUUGAACCCGACUCUAAAGCAUAUUUUUGUGAAGAUUGAAAAUUCCCAGUUGAUUUCUUAGGAAAUUAUCUUGAGUUUCUUUGUUUCUUUCGGUUAUACUGUAUCUUGGAUGUUUUUAUUUUCAAGUAUGAACUAAUUUUCUAAAUACCUAGGGGAGAUGAACCAUAUGAUAGAUUUUGUCGUUUGAUUUAUAUUUUUAUGCAAUAAAUGCUUAGUUUAUUGUUCUUAAUUAUGUGUGCUUAAUUCUUGGUUAAUAUUUCUAGAUUAUUGAUCUAUGUUUGAUGUACUUAAAUCGGUGGUGGAAUAGACCCUGUUUAAGAGUAGAUCUUGCAUAGCUAAGUGGAGUUACAUGCAAUCCUAAAAAUAUGACAACAUAAAUCUACGAGAUUAGAAUCAAAUCUAAUAAGAGAAUCCAUAACACGAGUUAAUGUGAUAAUAGAAGUUUUAAUUAAAAAGAAAUUUCAAUUAAUUAACCCAAAGUCAGUUGUUCUUAUGCUCGAAAAAGAUAUUAGCAUAAUUUAGAGAUUUUGUAACGCCCCAAAAUUUGAAAAUGUGAUUGUUGAAUUCUAUCAAUAGUUAGGUGUCUGCUUCAGUGGUUUAUAGCGUUAAUGGUGUGUCUGAAAUUCGGGGUUCAAAUCCCAUUUUUUGAAAAUUGUUAACUGUUUUGAAUCAACUUUUACUUUGAAUUUUUUUACUUAAGUUAAAUUUUGUGAAUGUUGUGUCAAAAAUGAGCUUGUCGGUUUAAUGGUUAAGCUUCUAAAUAUCGCGCUAGCGGUGGGGACAUAUUUUUGUGUUGUGCGGUAAUUAGGUUAACUUUUAAGUAAUUAAACAUUUUCUUUCUUUCUUUCUUUAUAAUGUUUUCCCUCUUACGUUUUGUUUUUAAAAUUUUUCUUCUCUUUUGCUACUGUUUCUUUUUCUUUUCUUUACUUUCCUUCCUUCAUCUUUCUUCUGCUCUGCUAUAUUGUUAACUGUCGGAUCGUACCAUCCCGUGGCCGACUGUGGUUGUCAAGGGUGAGAUUCAGUUGUUCUAAUUUGUUUGUAGUUGUCUAAUCUUUUGUGAAUUUGGGGUUUUUCUUCAAGCUCUGAAAUUGUGGUUUUAAUCUUUUUUUUGUUGUCCUUUGUUAUUUCGGUACAUUGUGGGGGAAGACCGAGAGACGUCUAACGUCCCUCCAACUAUCUAAGUUUGAGUAAUUGUUGUUGGUUCGUCGGUAAGCAUUAGUUUCGUUAUGGGAUUUUGCAUUGAAGUUUUCGACAUAGUUGGUUGAUUUCUAAUUGUGCGAAUUGUUACGUUUAAAAUGAUUGAUUGGACUUUGGUUGUCGUUUUUAGUUUUUGGGAUCACUUUUGUUGCUUCUACGUUGAAUCCAUAUAGGGUGUGUAAGGAAAACCCCAAAUUCUGCGUUCCGAAAAUCAUGGUUAUCGACGCCACACGACCGUGUGCCAGGCCGUGUGUCAGGUCGUGUAACUUAUCAUUUUAGAAUUAGAGUCACACGGACUAGAGACAUGGGCGUGUGUCCAGGCCGUGUAACUUACUGUUUUGGAAUUAGAGUCACACGGGCCAGAGGCACGAGCGUGUGUCCAGGCUAUGUAACUUAUUGUUUUGGAAUUAGAGUCACACAAGUCAGGGAUACGAGCAUGUGUCCUCGCCGUGUGAGAGGAUUUUUGGGUCUUGAGUCACAUAGGCGUGUGCUUGGUCAUGUGCUAGACCGUGUAACUCACUUUUUUGAGACACGCGGUGUAACAACCCGAUUUUGGGCUUAGCCAGAAUAAUGGUUUCGGGACCACAAAUUUGACGAGGACAAAAUUUUUUUUUAUUAUAUUUUUAUGGUCUACGAUUUCACGAAAUAAUUUUUUGAAAAAUUUGUUCGAAAAUUUUGACGUUUGGGCACUCAAUUUAGUCAAAAUGACUAAAUUGUAAAAAGUGUAAAAGUUGAGUUCUACAUGUUAGGGGUGUCUUUAUAUCGUAAUUAGACCAUUGGUUAAGUUAUGGACAAAAAUAUACAUGAGAUAAGUGAAAUAGAAAAUUUUUAAGUUAGGGGUAAUUUGGUAAUUUAGUAAUAAAAAGAAUUAAAAAGGGAAAAAGAUGGAAAAUGUGUUUAUCUUCUCCAUGAUGAACGAAAAUAGCAAGGGGGAAGCCAUAGUUAGGGUUUUCAAGCUUCCAAGCUCCAUAAUAAGUGAUUUCAAGCCCCGUUUUUAAUGUUCUUUACGAUUUUAGAGUUCCAGUAACUUGAUUUAGCUUAUUCUAGCAAUAAUUUAACCUAGGGUUUAUAUUUGGAAAAAUACCCAUAGGUGAAAUGUGUUUCUUUUGAUGUUUUAUGGUAGAAUAUAAAGCUUAAAAUUAUGUUAAACAACUUUUGCUAAGUGGUUAAGUGAUUUUAAGUGAAAAUGAGUAAAACGACAAAAUCGGUAAAAAUACCUAAUGUUCAUAAGUAAGUGUUAGAGUGGGAAUUUGAUGUUGCCGUAGAAGGGAAAAAUGUUCAGAAUGUCAUAAUACAUGAGAAUAAGGGAUGAAUUUUAAUUUACGAGCUUUAGGGAAAAAGUGUAAAUAUGCAAAAGUUUAGGGGAAAAUUUGUAAUUUUGCCAAAGUUUAAGUCAAGGACUGUUUUGAUAAAUGUGAGUAUUAAAUAAAUCAAAUGUGUUAUUAUAGAUCAAGAAAGAAGUGGAAUCAACCUUGAUCGGAGAAAAGAAAAGAUUAAAGACUAAAUUGCUAAAUUUUUAUAUUGUUGCAUCAAAGUAAGUUAUGUGUAAAUAAUAGCAAUAUAUUUUUUAUAAAUUGUGAAUUAUAUUUGAUAUGUGAAUUAUUAUUGAAUGUGGAAGGAAAAUUUUUCAUGAAUUAUUCAAGUGAUAAAGUGUUUAAAAUAAAGUGUUAAGUGUAAAUUCCUGGUUGAACUUAGGAAUAGAAGUGGAUACAAGUGACUUGUCACUAGAGACCAGUGUUACAGUGUUACAAUGGGUCCCGGGUGCUAGGUGAUCUAGCAUGUGUUGUAGACACCUGACAGCUUGUGUGAGUAGGCCCGUAGACAUUUCCAGUGUUAUUGAUCAGUGGUAGCUACAGCUACAUAUCAGUGGUAGCUUCGGCUACAUUUCAGUGGUAGCUACGGCUACGUAUCAGUGUGGCACUCAUGUGCUAAUUCUCUACGUAUCCGUGUAUAUUCCGAGUGUUCAACGGGAAAUUUACUAAGUGAAAAUAUAUGAGAUUAUGUAACGACUAAGUGUAAUUGAAUGAUGAAUAUAUGUGUGGAAUUGAAUUGAAUAGUGAUCGAAAGUGAAAAAGUGAAAUUAUGAAAUAGUAGAAUUAGCAGCAAAAUAGUUUUGGACAGAAACAGUUGCAUGACUUUGAAAAAUCACCAAAAAUGAUGGAAAUCGAAUUAGAGGUUGAAUAAGAUAUUAAAUGAAAGGUUAAUGAGUCUAUUUUUACAUAAAAGAAAUAGAGUAAGCAAAAGAGUUAUAUAUUUUGAGAUAUUUUAAGUUUAGUGAGACAGGGUCAGAAUGAAUUUGGAAUCCCCUGUUCUAACUUUGAAAAAUUGUUAAAAAUUGUAAAAAAAUAAUUACGGGCUAAAAUUUAUAUGUUUAGAACCCUAAAUGAGUUUAUUUUCAAGUGAAAUAAACGUAAGUACCAUCUGAAUUCUGUACAAUGAGAUAAUUAAUUUUUAGUGAAGAGAUGUCAGAAUUGUUGAGCAAUGAAAUAGGGGAAAAUUUAAAGAAUAAACUGUACUUAUUAGCUAAUCCAAAAAUUAUGAAAAUUUUAUGGCAAGAAUAUAUGUGAAUCUAGUUUCAGGAAAAAUUAACGGAUCUUAAUUUGGAGCUCUGUAGCUCCGGAUAAAAAUAAUUUAGUGACUCUGACUCGGAUAGACAUCUUUGAAUUACAUGUGAGUGAAUAGUAAAAUUAUAGAAAAUGUUAUUUAUAAGAGUGUUAUGUACAUUAAGGAUGUGGAAUGGAGAGGAGGAGGAGGAGGAAAUAUAAAAUAUAUGAAUGAUUUGUAUAUAAAUUAGUCAUAUGCCCGAUUAUAUUUGAUAAACGUUGAAUUAGAAAUGACAUAAUGUUUCAUUUCAAUUAGUUAUUAUGAAUUGAAUUGUAAAUUCAUAUGGCUGAAACCAAACAAUUAUUUGUUAGUAUUAUGCAUGACAUAAUGUAUUAUUCUAUAUACAUAUUCAUGGUUGAAUUAUGAUGGUUGAGAAAGAUAGAUAAAUUGGAAUGAAAGUUCAAAUUGAGUAGAACGCAGGGUUGGGUACUUUCGUUCAGUGAUAAAGACGAAUUGACAGAAAAUACCAGGGAUGGACCAUGGCAAUAAGUGAUAUGUAAUUUCGUGUAAGACCAUAGCUGGGCUAUGGCAUCGGUAUAUGUUAUGAGAUUACGUGUAAGACCAUUGCUGGGCUAUGGCAUCGGUAUAUGUUAUGUGAUUACAUGCAAGACCAUAGUUGGACUAUGGCAUCGAGAAAAUAAGUACUCAAUUCCGUAAGACGUUCACUAAUUUGACAAAGUUGGUGAGUGUUACAUGGACUCAUAUUCAAGUGAUAGAUUUAUUGUGAUUGUUGAAUUUGAAUUCAAUUAAGUGAUUUCACCAAUUGGAUAUUGUAUAUGGCAAGAUGUGUUAGUGAAUUACAUAUUUAUGAAAUGAUAUACGAAGUUCAGUAAAUGAUACAUGAAAUUAAUAUGAAAAGAUUUAUGAUUGUUAUUAGUAUUGUUUCUGACAUAAUGUGGAUUCUUCGAUGUUGAAAUGAUUUAAAGGAUUUAUUGAGCAUAUGAAUGAGUAUGAGACUCAUACGAGUUAGUAUAGAUAUGUACAUGUGUCUUAUAAGCUUUGAAAUGAUAAGACUUGUGAAUUGUGAAUUAAUCUGUGUGAAAGUAUAUGGGAUAGAUUAGCGAAUCUUUACGAGAUAUUGAAUAUUUAAUAUAUUACAAUGGUGGUAGCUAUAAGGCUUGGAUCGAAUGAGUAUCUAUUGGGCCUCGUAAGCCCUAAUUAGCGAUUUGAAGAUAAUAAUUUGAAAGUUUUAAUCUGUAUGAAAUUUUAUAACUCGGUUUAAUAUGUUUAUAAGUGUAUAUGUUCUGGUAAUGCCUCGUACUCUAUUCCGGUGUUGAAUACGGGUAAGGGGUGUUACAAUGUGACAUCGCCAGAUUCGGCCAUAACGUUUAGGCUGGGUUUGGGGUGUUAUACACGGCCAUGUGUGACAUUAAUGAGGGCCACAAGGCGAGUGCUUGGCCAUGUGGACCACACGAGCCAGCCAUUCAAGCCGUGUGAAUCCACACGGGUGUGUGGGCCAGAAAUCAAAUUUUUUUCCUAGAGUCAUAAACAUCGUUCGGAUUGAACGUAUGCCUAUCUUAGGGUCCGUAUGAUUUGAAUUAGACAAUGAAAUCUAAUAUCUGGUAAUCUAUUACUGAAUAAUCUGUUAUUUAGACAUAUAUGUUUGAUAUGAAAUCUAAUAAGUAAGUGUGACAGUAAUACGUGAGUAUGAUUUGAAAUUGUACCACUGUAUACGCAUAUCUAUUAUCUGAUAUAUCUGCAUUUGCAUCAGGUUUGGGAACUUGUAAAGGAGGAAGUGUGGAUAGUUUAAUAAUCUGCCAAUUUUGGUGGCUAAGCCAUAACCGUAUAUCUGACUCUGGUGAUUUAUCGCAUUUUAAUUUGGCAGCUAGAUUGCAAUUACUUUGAAACGUGACAUAUAGUCACUACACGGUGUGUAGGGAUGGAUGGGUACUUGAUACCCUAUAUGCUGUGUAGGAUUGGACGGAGGUGGUGUGUAGCGGUUGGGGGUAAGACUUUGCAUCUGUAUUUGAUAUGUUCUGCUACUGAAUUCGAUGCCCUCUGCUUUUGUCUCUGUGUCUAAUUCUAAGAAUUGUCUGAGAAAUGAAACUGAAAUCAUACCUGUUAUAUUACUGAUUAUUUGAUUAUAUAAGUUAGGCACUGAGUUGUAAACUCAUCUAGUCUAUUUGUUUAGAUGACAAGUAACCCACAGACUUAGGUGGGUCGGAGUGUUAGGAGCUCAGUCACAUCGUUUAACUGAUUUAUUAUGUUAUUUGGAUUUAUGCUUAAUUGUUAUUCUGGGUUGUGGAUUUUAAUACUGGAUUUUAUAUUUUUCUUUUGAACGUUUCAAUUUCUGGGAUGGUUUGAAUUUUUAUUUUUAAAAAAAUGGACUUUCCUAGAAUGAUUGAUGUAGCUCUCCAGACUUGGUCAUAUCAUUAGGUCGGGUUUGGGGUGUUACAUAUUUCUAUGGAUCAAAAUACUAAGUAAAGAAAUUGUGUAAUUUAGAUUGAUAGUGACAGAUGAAAUCUAGGUAAAUUCUUUCUUGAAUAUUGUUUCGCUUCAUGGUUGUUAAUCGAUUAUUUUUUAAUUUAUUCCUUAUUGUGUUCGUUAGUUAAUUAAUUUAGUUAAUUUUAGUUUUUAAUCAAUCACUCGAAUUAUUAAGUUAAAUAAUAGAAAGACGAUAAUUAUUAGUACUUUUAGUCUUCGUGGGAACGAUAUAUUUACUCACCAUAACUAUACUAUUAAUUGAUAGAUGCACUUACCUUACUCAACUUUUUAGUUAAUUUUGUGGACAUCAACCUCCAUUAUUACUAGACUAUGGGCAACUUUAUUUCUUUGCCAAUGAUUUCAUAGUUAAUUUUAAAAUUUUAAAAAUAUUAUUUGGUUCACUUUUAAUAAUUAAUUUGAUACUUUUAGGUAGAUAAUUUUCAUCUUUUAGUUAAUGCAUAGAGAUAGAAAUAAAUUUAUGAGAUUAUUUCGUAAUCAUGUCAUUUUUUUAAAAGAUUUUAUUUGCCUCUUUUUAUAUUUUAAUAUGGAAAAAAUUAUUAGCAAAUAAACAUAGAUGAUAAAAAAACUCCAAUAGCUAUCAACAUUUUAGGGCAAUUUAUCAAUAAAAGCCCUUUUUUUUCAAAAAUUACCGAAAUAGGCCCAUUUUUUAAUUAUUUACCGGAAUGGUCCUUUUUCCUGGAAAUCGCGUCCAUGUCAGCAUCUCGCGCUGACGUGGACGCGAUUUCGGCCCGCGCGUGAACAGUACCCAACGGUCAAAAAAAUAAAAUACCGGGCCCAUUUCGAUAAAUUUUAAAAAUAUAAGGCUUUUUUGGUAUUUUGAAAAAAUAAAUUUUGAAUCUUUUUGUACUUGUAUUUAUUUUUUUAAUCAAUUAACUCUUCAAUAUUACAUCUGUAACACCCCUUACCCGAGACCGUUGUCGAAGUCGAGCACGAGGCAUUACUUAGCUUAUCUUACUAAUUCGGAGUAUAAAAACUUGUUUUGAAAAUUAAUUUCACUAUUUACUGCAAAUCUGUCCAAUCGUGCAUCAGUUACUAAAUUAAUUAUAACUCGAGUUACGGUACUCGAAAUUUAAUUCCGCAAAUUUUCCCUGAAACUAGACUCAUAUAUCUUCCAACUAUAAAAUUUUUAUUCAAAUUAUCUCAUACACUAUUUCUUAAUACAAUUUAUACCAUUAAUCUUUCAAUAAACAUUUAAUACAUUAAAUCAACUUGUUUCAACAAUAACAAUGAUAAUAAUAGCUAUCUUUCAAUUCGAUUCGUUCAUUUAUAAUCAAUUUACACUUAUGAUCUUUUAACACUCAAUUUGUACAUUAAAUCCGUAAAUAAGUUUUAAUAACUUGUAUUAAAUUUUCGUAUUAUUUCACUAUUUCAAGUCAUUUUAUUUUCACUUCUCAUUUCUCAACAAUAGCUAUUUCAAUUUGCUUUUCUUUACUUAUAAUUUUACAUCAUCUCAUACUAUCAAAACCAUUUCAUGAACUAUAUCAUUAUCUAUUUCUUGAGCCGCUAGUUCAUACAUUUUAUUUCCAUAUGUCAAUUUAAUAUCUCAUUUUGAUUCAUAUUUAAGAUCAUUCAAUAAAAUUUAUAUUAUCAAAAUUAUCCAUUUACCCCUAUUAACUUGACUCGGACCUUGGCGGAUACACGGAUUCCAACCAAACACACCAGUAACAGUAAUCAGUAACAAUAACAGUGUUCGACACACAAAGUGCCGAAUCGGUAACGGUGACAGUAACAGUAACAGUAUUCGACACACAAAGUGCCGAAUCGGUAACAGUAACAAUAGUCGGCACAUAAGUGCCUGAUUAGUAAGCCGGCAAAUACCCCGUACUUUUCCAUAUCCUAUGGCAUGCCAACUAUAUCCGACUAGCCCGACUAGUUAAUAGGAUAUUUAACUCACUUUUCAGUACAAUUUUCGUCUUAAUUCAGUAUCAAUUAUAAAUUCCUUAUUUCAAUCAGUUUCACAGUAUUAUAAUAAUUUAUUACUUUAGUAAUUUCAUAAUUCAAUGCAUUAUACAUAACAAUAUUCAGUAUUUUCAUAAUUCACUCAGUACUCAAAACAAUAUCCAGUAUUCCCUAAUUCAGUUCAGUAUCAGUCUUACAUAUCAAUUUCCACUUUCUCAAUUCAAUUCCAAUAAAAUCCAUAUCAGUCACCAAUUCCAAUAUUCCAGUUCAAUUCAAUGAUUCAAUUCAAACCAUUUCAAUUUCUAUUCAAUAAUCACAUUUCAAUUUCACUUUCUUAAUUCAAUAUUCAUCUCAAUUACUCACAUAUAAUUACAAUUCAAUCUAAUUUCAUUCAGUUCAAUAUCAGUACUUAAUCUCAAUAAUUAUAUUCACUAGAAAUCUACUCCAUUCAAAGAAAUAUUAUCAUACCAAAUUUCUUACUUUAUUUAUUUACCAUACAUUCUAAUUAAAACACAAUAAUUAAUAAUAAUUAGAUUUGAAUUAUGAUAAUACUAACCGAAAUUUCUCUCGAGUCACUCUUUGUUCACCUUCUCCUUUCCUUUCUCGGACAAUAACUCUUGCACGACAUUAGCUACGUAAUUAAACAAUUAAAAAUCAUUAAUACACAAUUUCAUUAAAAUAUUUCCUUUUGUACCUAAACUUUACCUAAAUUCUAAUUUAAUUCCUUAUCAAUAUUAAUUUCAUUUUCCCAUUCUAACUCCAUAUUCUCUCUUAAUUCUUACUACAAACUCAAUUUAACUCUUCAAUUUCACCAUAAAUCCCUAAUUUCGGGAUUCUUUCAAUUUAGUCCCUACUUUUCAAAACUUACACUUUAUUUCAAUUAAAUCCUUUACUAACUUCUAACUUGAAAUUCAAUCAAUUUAACCCCCUAACACUUCAAUUUAUUCAACAUGAACAUCAUCUAAUAAUCUACUAACUUUCAAAAUAUCAACAUAAAUCAAGUAGUUUUUAUCUCUAGGAUUCCAAAAACAUCAAAACUAAGAGAAAAGGGAUUAAAUUGACUUACCAAAUUAACUCUGAACCUUAAAACCCCAAAUUUCUCUUUUUCUUUUUCUUUCUUUCUUUCUCCCCUGCUUCUUCUAUGUUUCGUUUGCCUAUUCUGUUUCUAUUCUCUUUUCUAUCUUUUAUUUCAUUUAUUUAAUUAGUUUAAUAUAAUAACAAUAAAAUAAUAAUAUAAUAUUACUUAUGUAAUAGGCCAUUUUUGCCCGGGCCCAUACCAGCAAAAUAGACCCAAAUAAUAAAAACAAAAGCAGCCCAUUUUCAGCCAAUUUAAACCCAAAAAAACUACAAGCCCAAAUGCCCAAUAUUAAUAAAAACCCUAGAGGCCCGAAUGGCCCAAAACUACACCAGCUUUCAAACACAAAAAGAAACCCCAGUCGCAUGUUGUUGCUGCCACCUCCUGCGCACGCCCACCGUCGCUACUCGCCAAUCGCCGGCUUCGCGUGUCCACGCGUCUGACACCUGCAAAACGAAGCCACACGCAACAGUACAAGGAUCCAAAGCAUAAAACGACAGAAAUAGAAGUUUAGGGGUUGUAAAAAUUUGCUAUAUAGGCUGAACAAAAGCAUUGUAAUUUUUUCUUCUGGCAAUUUCAUGAACUUUAGAAAUAAAAGAAAACUAAGUUUUUCUUCUCUAGACCUGUUAUUUUAUUUUGGUUUUGCUCUAUUUUAUUUUUUUAACAAAAACAAAAUAAAGAAAAGGGGGCUCACCGGAACCUUUGUGACCGCAUCGUCGGGAAAGGGUGAAGCUACGCCGCCAUCGGGACCGGAUCCAUAAGGAGGCCGGGGUUCUCCUCUGUUUUGGUCGCUUGCAGGGCUCGACCCUCGAUGGCGCUGCCAGGCAGAGGCUGAAAAGCCCAUUUUUUACGCGUCAGACACCGGCUACGGAGGCGGUGCGGUCGUUCAUCGACGGUGAGUGGGCCUGGAACCCAAGCAGAAAAAGGGAAACCUCCCUUUUAUUUUUCUGUGUUCUUUGCAAGAGAAUGAAACAGCAGAAAAAGAAGUAAAAUUUUUGCUUUUAUGGAUGAUUAAACCGGUGCCGUUUGAUGGGGGAGAUCUGCGCAUGCUUUGCCCUAAUGGGUAAUUUAUGCCUUUAGUCCCUCCAUCUUGCGUUGAAGUGCAAUCCAGCCUUUUAUUUCUUUUCUGAUUUGGGCCAUAAGAUUUACUGCUUGUUUCAUUUUAGUCCGUGUCAAAACGCAGCAUUUUGGGGAUGGGGAUUAUUUCCCAGUUAGUCCCUAUCUCUCUGCGCGCAUUUAGUUCAGGUCCCGAUUGUCCUUUUUAUUUAAAAUCUGUCAUUUAAUUUUGUUUUUAAUUUCUGUCUAGUCCCGGGUCCAUUUAAUUUAUUUGUUUAUUAUUAUUAUUAUUAUUAUUUAAAAAAACAGAAACUCUUUUAUUAUUAUUUGUUUUAAAUUUUAUUUAUUUAUUAUUUAUUGUAA
rnacentral:lncRNA from 1 species